rnacentral:rRNA from 1 species
UGCCAGCAGCCGCGGUAAGACGAGAGGCCCAAGCGUUACUCGGAAUCACUGGGCUUAAAGGGUGCGCAGGCGGACUGGUAGGUGUGCUGUGAAAUCCCCCGGCUCAACCGGGGAACUGCGGUGCAAACCACCAGUCUUGAGGUAUGUAGAGGCUGUCGGAACGUUCGGUGGAGCGGUGAAAUGCGUAGAUAUCGAACGGAACGCCAAAGGUGAAGACAGGCAGCUGGGCAUUACCUGACGCUCAGGCACGAAAGCGUGGGGAUCAAACAGGAUUAGAUA